rnacentral:rRNA from 1 species
UACGUAGGGUGCAAGCGUUGUUCGGAAUUACUGGGCGUAAAGCGUGCGCAGGCGGUUCGUUGUGUCCGAUGUGAAAGCCCCGGGCUUAACCUGGGAAUGGCAUUGGAAACUGGCGGGCUGGAGUGCGGCAGAGGGGGGUGGAACUCCUGGUGUAGCAGUGAAAUGCGUAGAGAUCAGGAAGAACACCGAUGGCGAAGGCAGCCCCCUGGGUCGACACUGACGCUCAGGCACGAAAGCGUGGGGAGCAAAC